AUUGAAUGCUGGCGGCAGGCCUAACACAUGCAAGUCGAGCGCGAAAGUUCUUCGGAAUGAGUAAAGCGGCGGACGGGUGAGUAAUACAUGGGAAUCUGCCUGGUAGUGGGGGACAACGUUUCGAAAGGAACGCUAAUACCGCAUACGCCCUACGGGGGAAAGGGGGGGAUCUUCGGACCUCUCGCUAUCAGAUGAGCCCA
rnacentral:rRNA from 1 species